rnacentral:rRNA from 1 species
GGAUUAGAUACCCUGGUAGUCCACGCCGUAAACGAUGUCUACUAGUUGUCGGUUGUCUUGUACGACGGGUAACGCAGCUAACGCGAUAAGUAGACCGCCUGGGGAGUACGGCCGCAAGGUUAAAACUCAAAUGAAUUGACGGGGGCCCGCACAAGCGGUGGAGCAUGUGGUUUAAUUCGAAGCAACGCGAAGAACCUUACCUGGCCUUGACAUCCACAGGAGUCUGCAGAGAUGCGGAUGUGCCUUCGGGAACUGUGAGACAGGUGCUGCAUGGCUGUCGUCAGCUCGUGCCG